rnacentral:lncRNA from 1 species
CCACACAGACACAUACGCCUCACACUCUCUAUCAGUCACGUCAGGCUCGGUGGAUCACGGUAGCACUAGCUUCAGCUAGCCAGCCUCUGCCACUCCGGGCAUUUUCUUGCAUCCACGACGGCAAUGGCCACCGCUGAUGUACGUAUAGCUUGUCUCGAUCGUCUAUUCUCUUUCACGUGCUCUGAUCGAUGAUCGCUUCGAUGGGUUCUUCAUCCUUUGAUCUGCUUAUUAUAUGUGUGAUCUGACGAACGAACGGGUGAUCAUGAUCGAGCUCGACCUCGAGCUAGAUCGGUUUGUGUACGUCUUGACAUGUGCGUGGUGCUAAUGGACGUAACUGUGCGUCGUGCAGGUCCAGAACCCGACGGCCGCGCUGACGGAGGAGGCGCCCACGGUGGAGACGCCCGUCGCCGCCGAGGAGGUCGCGAAGACGGAGGAGGCCCCCGCGCCGGCCGAGGCCGAGGUCAAGGCGCCUGCUGCCCCCGUCGAGGUCGAGGAGACCAAGGAGGUGGCACCUGCCGCCGCUGAGACGGAGGAGGCCAAGGAGCCCGAGCCAGCAGCUGCGGCCGAGCCGGAGGCCGAGGCCCCCAAAGAGACAGAGGCGCCAGCCGUGGUCGAGACAGAGACCAAGGAGGCCGUGGCUGAGGCAGAGCCAGCGGCGCCCGAGGAGGUGAAGGAGGAGGCCGCGCCUCCUGCCGAGCCAGAAGCACCGGCCGUCGCCGAGGAGGCACCGGCUGCACCGGAGGAGGCGCCCGCGGCCGCGGCAGAGGAGCCGGCCGCCGCGGUGGCCAGCGUCAGCGUGUGAGGCGCCGGCGCGCGCGGAGGAGGAGCUGGCCGGGUCAGCUUCCACGGCGGCGGCCGUGUGCUCCUACGUGGCACGGCGUGAUGCUGAGUCAGCCAGUGGAGUGGAGUGGAAUGAUACUUUUUACUAGGUGUGGAGUGGGAGUGCUAUGCGCGGGGUCGCGUGACGUGGGCUAAAUAAAAGUGUUGUCGGGUCGGGUCGACGCCCAGUGUCGGUCAGCAGCGAGCGACGCAGUGCCACUCUCGCCGGCCUGCGUCUGCGUCUGCUUAGCUGGAGCCUUGUUACGGUGUGUGUCACAGUGUCAGUUCCACCUAUGAUCGAUCGGUAUCCUAACCGGUUUGCGUUAUCCCUGGCUCCUGCUUCAGUAUGUCUCUGGAUGAUCUCCAGCUAAUUUACCACUCUACCGAUGCAUCUAGACGAAUAACGUAGGCGUAUAUAUAGAUCCGGCGAUCGCCGGCGCCCGUGGCUUCUUCCUCGGGUUAUUCAGAUUCAG